rnacentral:rRNA from 1 species
UGGGGGAUAUUGCACAAUGGGCGAAAGCCUGAUGCAGCGACGCCGCGUGGGGGAUGAAGGCCUUCGGGUUGUAAACUUCUUUUGCUCUGAACAAGGCGCACCAUGGGGUGUGUUGAGUGUAGGGGUUGAUUAGCGCCGGCUAACUACGUGCCAGCAGCCGCGGUAAUACGUAGGGCGCGAGCGUUGUCCGGAAUUAUUGGGCGUAAAGGGCUUGUAGGUGGCUGGUUGCGUCUGUCGUGAAAGCUCAUGGCUUAACGGUGGGUUUGCGGUGGGUACGGGCUGGCUUGAGUGCAGUAGGGGAGGCUGGAAUUCCUGGUUUAGCGGUGGAAUGCGCAGAUAUCAGGAGGAAUACCGGUGGCGAAGGCGGGUCUCUGGGCUGUUACUGACACUGAGGAGCGAAAGCAUGGGGAGCGAACAGG